AGCAGCCGCGGUAAUUCCAGCUCCAAUAGCGUAUAUUAAAGUUGUUGCAGUUAAAAAGCUCGUAGUUGAAUUUCGGGGUUAGUAGGCUGGUCGUGCCACAGGUAUGUACUGGUCUUACUGAUUCCUCCUUCCUGAUGAACCGUAAUGCCAUUAAUUUGGUGUUGCGGGGAAACUGGACUGUUACUUUGAAAAAUUGAGUGUUUAAAGCAGGCUAACGCUUGAAUACAUUAGCAUGGAAUAACGAAAUAGGACGAUCGAUCUUAUUUUGUUGGUUUCUAGGAUUGACGUAAUGAUUAAUAGGGAUAGUUGGGGGCAUUAGUAUUCAAUUGUCAGAGGUGAAAUUCUUGGAUUUAUUGAAGACUAACUACUGCGAAAGCAUUUGCCAAGGAUGUUUUCAUUAAUCAAGAACGAAAUUAGGGGAUCGAAGACGAUCAGAUACCGUCGUAGUCUUAACCAUAAACUAUGCCGACUAGGGAUCGGAUGAUGUUAAUUUUUAAUGACUCAUUCGGCGCCUUACGGG
rnacentral:rRNA from 1 species